rnacentral:lncRNA from 1 species
CAUCUUCUCUUUUUUCUCAUUCUUCUUCUUCUUCCUCUCCUAAUUCUACAUCUCCAUCUUCUUCUCCCCUACUUCCGCUUCUCCAUCUUCCUCUUCCUCUUCUCCUCUUAUGCUUCCUCUUCUUCUACUACUACUACAACUACUACUACUUCCCUUUCUUUUACUUUCUUUUCUACUUUGCCUUCUUCUUCCUCUUCAACUUCUCCUUCUUUCUCUCCUUCUUCCUUCACCUCCUCCUUCUCCUCCUUCUUCUUCCCCUCCAUCUUCUACUUCUUCUUCUUCACCGUCUUCUCCUUCAUUUUCUUCCUCUACUUCCUCUCCUUCUUCAACUUCUUUUUCUCCCUCU